rnacentral:rRNA from 2 species
UGCAGUCGAGCGAAUGAGAGGAGCUUGCUCCUCUGAUUUAGCGGCGGACGGGUGAGUAACACGUGGGUAAUCUGCCUGUAAGACGGGGAUAACUCCGGGAAACCGGGGCUAAUACCGGAUAAUAAGAGAAGAAGCAUUUCUUCUUUUUGAAAGUCGGUUUCGGCUGACACUUACAGAUGAGCCCGCGGCGCAUUAGCUAGUUGGUGAGGUAACGGCUCACCAAGGCGACGAUGCGUAGCCGACCUGAGAGGGUGAUCGGCCACACUGGGACUGAGACACGGCCCAGACUCCUACGGGAGGCAGCAGUAGGGAAUCUUCGGCAAUGGGCGAAAGCCUGACCGAGCAACGCCGCGUGAGCGAUGAAGGCCUUCGGGUCGUAAAGCUCUGUUGUUAGAGAAGAACAAGUACGAGAGUAACUGCUCGUACCUUGACGGUACCUAACCAGAAAGCCACGGCUAACUACGUGCCAGCAGCCGCGGUAAUACGUAGGUGGCAAGCGUUAUCCGGAAUUAUUGGGCGUAAAGCGCGCGCAGGCGGUCUCUUAAGUCUGAUGUGAAAGCCCACGGCUCAACCGUGGAGGGUCAUUGGAAACUGGGAGACUUGAGUGCAGGAGAGAAAAGUGGAAUUCCACGUGUAGCGGUGAAAUGCGUAGAGAUGUGGAGGAACACCAGUGGCGAAGGCGGCUUUUUGGCCUGUAACUGACGCUGAGGCGCGAAAGCGUGGGGAGCAAACAGGAUUAGAUACCCUGGUAGUCCACGCCGUAAACGAUGAGUGCUAGGUGUUGGGGGGUUCCACCCUCAGUGCUGAAGUUAACACAUUAAGCACUCCGCCUGGGGAGUACGACCGCAAGGUUGAAACUCAAAGGAAUUGACGGGGGGCCCGCACAAGCAGUGGAGCAUGUGGUUUAUUUCGAAGCAACGC